rnacentral:misc_RNA from 1 species
AAAUUCUUCGUUUUCUUCUCGUGCUCUUCAUAAUGGCAUCUCUUUUAUGUACUUGCUUUUCUAAUUGUCCCCAUACCUUUUUUAUCCUUAUUAUUUCUACUUCUUUGUACUAUUGGCAAAGCUAAAGCCCAAUUUGUGACUUUGUUUUUGACAAUGCCAACUCCCACUUGGGGUCAGAAAAAGUCCAACAGAAUCCAUUCUUUUGAGUUUUCUUGAAUUAGAAUGAUAUGAUAUAGAGCUCACUGAUCAACCUUUGAAGUCCACAAGAAACGAAUUUUUGGUGGAUCUGUUCUUUAUUUUUCAGGUGGGGCUGAGAGCUCUUAUGUGUAGUGAUGCACAACGUAUUGAUGUGUAGAUAACAUAACAUCAUGGACGAUAAAUUAUUGGAACACUGACACAUUGCUGCAACUA